CCAAGAGUCUUUUUUUUGUACAAUUGUUUAUACAAAUUCAACAAAGGUAAAACUGCAUCUGGGAAGGUCUCGGAAAACAACACCUUACAACAAUGGCACUUAUGAAGGCAUAACUUUACAACUAGGAAAAAGCCAUGUUCUAAACCUUAAAUGAGAACUCAACUCACACUUCAAAGGGGAAAAAAAGGAAAAGAAAGGCUAUGUUGGAUCAUUUAUUCUACUUCUUGACUCACUGUAUAAAUUAGCUGUAUGUAGAGUACAAGAGCUCAUGCUGGAGCAAAACCCUCCUGAGUGCAAAGGCUGAAUUCUGAAUUUUAAAAUUUUGAGAAAAAGGUAAAUUCUAUACAGAGGAAACUUGGCAAAGUGUCUUACUUCAACUAUAAUUUACAUAUAUCCACAACAUGCUUAUGUAACUUCUUGACAUACGAAGCAGGCUCCCAACCGCCAGUUACACAUGCUCUUAACUGGAAGGUCUUAGCCUGCUCUGCCAGAUCUGGGCACAUGUUAGAUGGAUUAUUUGUUGGUGAAGUACAGGUUAAGUUCUCUCCUACCUUAAGAAAACCAGGAAAGUUGGCAAUCUCAAAACAAUAAAAACACUGGUAUGCAUUCAAACCUUGCAUAAAUAACUUUUAAACAAUUUGUACAAAAAUAGUUCUGCAUAAUGUAAGAUGUAACAAAACCAAACAAACAAAACAAAUAUGUCAAGGCGGCAAAUGUGGUGUGUGGUCCACUUUAUGUUGACACCAAAAACCUCAGAGUUGCAAGGAAUGAGGUGUCCAAAACAAAAACACCACCACCAAAAAAACUCCUAAGCUCAUGCUUCAGUAAGAGAAAUUCUCCAGAGUUCAUCCUCCUCUCCGAUGGGAAUGUCUUCUUGGUAAAGGCCGCCUUAGAAAUGGUCCAGAAAGCAGUGCAGUUACGAUUCAGAAAGACCAAAGGAAAGUGUCCAGCUCACUCAUGCCCAAACGGGUGGUGGAACAGCUUCUCCCUCGGCAAGACUUGCAAAAUGGAAUCGUUCUGUGGUCUGUAGUUCCAAGUUCCAAAUUGAAAAUAAAAGCCCUAGUUUCUGUG
rnacentral:lncRNA from 1 species